UAUCAGGAGGAACACCGGUGGCGAAGGCGGCUUGCUGGGCCUUACCUGACGCUGAGGAGCGAAAGCGUGGGGAGCGAAACAGGAUUAGAUACCCUGGUAGUCCACGCUGUAAACGUUGGGCGCUAGGUGUGGGACCCUUCCACGGGUUCCGUGCCGGAGCUAACGCAUUAAGCGCCCCGCCUGGGGAGUACGGCCGCACUGGCUAAAACUCAAAGGAAUUGACGGGGGCCCGCACAAAGCGGCGGAGCAUGUUGCUUAAUUCGACGCAACGCGAAGAACCUUACCAAGGUUUGACAUCACCCGGAAACGCUCAGAGAUGGGCGCCUCUUCGGACUGGGUGACAGGUGGUGCAUCGCAGUCGUCAGCUCGUGUCGUGAGAUGUUGGGUUAAGUCCCGCAACGAGCGCAACCCUUGCUCCAUGUUGCCAGCAGGCCCCUUUGGGGGUGCUGGGGACUCAUGGGGGACUGCCGGGGUCAACUCGGAGGAAGGUGGGGAUGACGUCAAGUCAUCAUGCCCCUUAUGUCUUGGGCUGCAAACAUGCUACAAUGGCCGGUACAGAGGGCUGCUAAGCCGUGAGGCGGAGCGAAUCCCUAAAAGCCGGUCUCAGUUCGGAUUGGGGUCUGCAACUCGACCCCAUGAAGUCGGAGUCGCUAGUAAUCGCAGAUCAGCAACGCUGCGGUGAAUACGUUCCCGGGCCUUGUACACACCGCCCGUCACGUCACGAAAGUCGGCAACACCCGAAGCCCGUGGCCCAACCCGCAAGGGGGGGAGCGGUCGAAGGUGGGGCUGG
rnacentral:rRNA from 1 species